rnacentral:rRNA from 1 species
GAGAGUUUGAUCCUGGCUCAGAUUGAACGCUGGCGGCAGGCCUAACACAUGCAAGUCGAACGGUAACAGGAAGAAGCUUGCUUCUUUGCUGACGAGUGGCGGACGGGUGAGUAAUGUCUGGGAAACUGCCUGAUGGAGGGGGAUAACUACUGGAAACGGUAGCUAAUACCGCAUAACGUCGCAAGACCAAAGAGGGGGACCUUCGGGCCUCUUGCCAUCGGAUGUGCCCAGAUGGGAUUAGCUAGUAGGUGGGGUAACGGCUCACCUAGGCGACGAUCCCUAGCUGGUCUGAGAGGAUGACCAGCCACACUGGAACUGAGACACGGUCCAGACUCCUACGGGAGGCAGCAGUGGGGAAUAUUGCACAAUGGGCGCAAGCCUGAUGCAGCCAUGCCGCGUGUAUGAAGAAGGCCUUCGGGUUGUAAAGUACUUUCAGCGGGGAGGAAGGGAGUAAAGUUAAUACCUUUGCUCAUUGACGUUACCCG